CCUACGCGAGGCUGCAGUGGGGAAUAUUGGACAAUGGGCGAAAGCCUGAUCCAGCAAUGCCGCGUGAGUGAUGAAGGCCCUAGGGUUGUAAAGCUCUUUUACCCGGGAUGAUAAUGACAGUACCGGGAGAAUAAGCUCCGGCUAACUCCGUGCCAGCAGCCGCGGUAAUACGGAGGGAGCUAGCGUUGUUCGGAAUUACUGGGCGUAAAGCGCGCGUAGGCGGUUUUUUAAGUCAGAGGUGAAAGCCCGGGGCUCAACCCCGGAAUUGCCUUUGAAACUGGAAAACUUGAAUCUUGGAGAGGUCAGUGGAAUUCCGAGUGUAGAGGUGAAAUUCGUAGAUAUUCGGAAGAACACCAGUGGCGAAGGCGACUGACUGGACAAGUAUUGACGCUGAGGUGCGAAAGCGUGGGGAGCAAACAGGAUUAGAUACCCCGGUAGUC
rnacentral:rRNA from 1 species